UACGUAGGGGGCAAGCGUUGUCCGGAUUUAUUGGGCGUAAAGAGCGUGUAGGCGGUUCGGUAGGUCCGUUGUGAAAACUCGAGGCUCAACCUCGAGACGCCGAUGGAAACCCUCGAACUAGAGUCCGGAAGAGGAGAGUGGAAUUCCUGGUGUAGCGGUGAAAUGCGCAGAUAUCAGGAAGAACACCAGUGGCGAAGGCGGCUCUCUAGUACGGUACUGACGCUGAGACGCGAAAGCGUGGGGAGCGAACAGG
rnacentral:rRNA from 1 species